GACGAACCGUGCGAACGUUGUUCGGAUUCACUGGGCUUAAAGGGCGCGUAGGCGGGUCAGCAAGUCCGGGGUGAGAGCUUUCGGCUCAACCGGAAAAGGGCCUUGGAUACUGCUGGUCUGGAGGAAGGUAGGGGCGUGUGGAACUUCCGGUGGAGCGGUGAAAUGCGUAGAUAUCGGAAGGAACGCCGGUGGCGAAAGCGACACGCUGGACCUUUUCUGACGCUGAGGCGCGAAAGCCAGGGGAGCAAACGGG
rnacentral:rRNA from 1 species